rnacentral:rRNA from 1 species
UACGUAGGGUGCAAGCGUUGUCCGGAAUUAUUGGGCGUAAAGAGCUCGUAGGCGGUCUGUCGCGUCGGCUGUGAAAACCCGGAGCUCAACCCCGGGCCUGCAGUCGAUACGGGCAAACUGGAGUGUUGCAGGGGAGACUGGAAUUCCUGGUGUAGCGGUGAAAUGCGCAGAUAUCAGGAGGAACACCGGUGGCGAAGGCGGGUCUCUGGGCAACAACUGACGCUGAGGAGCGAAAGCGUGGGGAGCGAACAGG